rnacentral:misc_RNA from 1 species
GCCCACCUCUACUUGUAACUUUGUCAGAAUAGAAGUAACUUUCUAAUAUAGCACAAACUAUUAGGUCUCUAUUCUGUGAUCACUCACUGUCCACAUAUUUAUCCUAUUACAAACUAGACUAGUAAUGACAACAGAACACAAUGGUAUGUGAGUACACAUCUCUUAUUCAGCAGUUACUAUGGGGUGCUAGGAAUAGGCUCAGUUCCAGAAAUGUGAGACGCUGCAUCGUCUUUGGUCAUGGCAACAUAGUUCACAGGAGCACUGAGUCUCGCGUCUUUCUUUCCAUCUUUAGAAGUUGACCUGGAACCGUUUUGGUGGGAAUUAAGAGACAGCCUUCUGCUUGCCGGCCCAUUGGCACUGCCAUUUGCUCGUGGACCUGUUACCUUCUUAGAACCAAGUGGUCGAGCAGGGCUCGGCGUAGAUCCAAAUACUUCUGGAUCUUUGCUCAUCUGCUCAUGGAACUUCUUCUGGUCCCUCAGCCUUCUUUUCUCUUCUUCUCUAUCGUGCCUGAGCAUCAUAUAUUCGUCUAGCAUGGCAAGUAGUGGAACACCAUCAUAAGUGAAUGUGGUGUCCCGCUCUUGUUCCCAUGCUCUAGUUUUUGCAACCAACGAGUCCACAAGAGCUGGAAUUUUAUUGACCAAUAUCCGAGCCUUUUCAGCUCUCUUCAAAUUCAAGUGUGCCCCUCUGCUUGCAUUAUACCGAUUAUCAUCCCUGUUAUAGUCUUCAAGCCAGCUCUCUUCUUCACAAGCUGCCAUCCAUUUCUCAACUUUUUCCAAUAUUUCUUUCCUACUAUGAGCCUCUUCUUUGGCAAUUACAAUCUGAUUGUCCAUGUCAGCUAGUAAUUCUGCUGGAUCAACAUUACCAGAAUCAAUCAGUCCCAUAAUCUUUUCUCGAGCAGCCUCAGUAUCAAUCUCUACGUGGGCACGAGCAUAAAUGUCUUCCAGUUCAGCCUGUCUUUUGAAAGAAAUCUCCUUCAUCUUGCUAGCUUUAAGUUGAUCAAGCCUUUCAACUUCCACUUCAGCCUGUUCAAUCAAAUCAAGAGCAAGAGCUCCUGGAAUGGCCACUUCAUCUACUGAAGCUGAUAUGUUGCAGGUAACGUGGUCAAAUAAGCUCCUUUCUUCUUCUGGGGUAUCCAUCAAAUUCCAUAAAUCAAUUAGCUGAGUUGCUAAUUCUUGAAGCUUAAGCAAUCUCUGCUUCUUAUCUUCCUUUAAUACCAAGACAGUGUUAGCCAGAUUUGACAAUGUAUCAUUGCUAAUACUUUUUGAUUGUACACCAGUGGAAUCAUCCAGGCUUGGGUGAACUUCUGUGACAGUACUGAAGAAGUCCAUGCCAAGAACAGCACAAAGGUCAUGCACAGUACUCACAAGAUCGAGGACCUUGUGUAAUCUGUCACUCUUCUCCUUUUGGAGCUCUUGAAGUUGCACAUGAAACUCAUCCAACUUUUUUACAGAUAAGUCAGAUUCAUCCACUGUUAGACUCUCAACUUGCUCGCUAUACCCUGCAAUCUCACUGCUUAUCUUCUGAAUUUGUGAUUGUACAUCAAAGAAGUCUUUUAUCCUAUCAUCUUUCUGCUUCCAUAGUUUUUCCAAUGUUGGUGCUAUAGCUGCAAGCUGUUCCUUGAUUGUGCCUGAAGUUUUCUCAGGAAUUCCAACAUAUGUCUUCUCUCCAAGGGCUGACAGCAGCCUGGAGAGUUCAACUUUGGCAUCUGCCAAUGCCUGAAGAAGGUGAGCCCGUGACUUCACAGCAUGGUCGACCUUUCUCUUGUAGACAUCCAGACACUCUUGAUCUAUCUGAAGAAGCAUCUUGUCCCGCUCAUCAUCAGUUUCACCAACCUCAUCCCAGAUUUGCUGCAGCUUUUGUAGUAGGGUGCCGCAAGUUGUUUCAUCAAGAACAGGAGGCGUUUGAUCAUCUACUGCUGCCAUCUUCAGUCACGUUAACCAAACCCAAAUUAGGCAGUUUCUGGUGAGAUUUCGUUCUCAGAUCUACGAACUUUCACUUCACAGAAUCAGUAUAUAUGAGUUUUUG